rnacentral:rRNA from 1 species
AACGAACGCUGGCGGCAGGCCUAACACAUGCAAGUCGAGCGAAGACUUCGGUCCUAUCGGCGGAUGGGUGAGUAACGCGUGGGAAGGUGCCCUUUGCUUCGGAAUACUUCUGGGAAACUGGGAGUAAUAGCGGAUGAGCGCUUUGGGGGAAAGAUUUAUUGGCGAAGGAUCGGCCCGCGUUGGAUUAGGUUGUUGGUAGGGUAAUGGCCUACUAAGCCGCCGAUCCCUAGCUGGGUUGAGAGGAUGAUCAGCCACACUGGGACUGAGACACGGCCCGGAAUCCUACGGAAGGGAGGAGAGGGGAAUCUUAGACAAUGGGGGAAGCCCUGAUCUAGCCAUGCCGGGUGAGCGAUGAUGGCCUUAGGGAAGUAAAGCUCAUUCAGCUGGGAAGAUAAUGACGGUACCAGCAGAAGAAGCCCCGGCUAACUCCGUG